rnacentral:rRNA from 1 species
AGUGAACGCUGGCGGUAGGCCUAACACAUGCAAGUCGAACGGCAGCACAGUAAGAGCUUGCUCUUACGGGUGGCGAGUGGCGGACGGGUGAGGAAUACAUCGGAAUCUACUUUUUCGUGGGGGAUAACGUAGGGAAACUUACGCUAAUACCGCAUACGACCUACGGGUGAAAGCAGGGGAUCUUCGGACCUUGCGCGAUUGAAUGAGCCGAUGUCGGAUUAGCUAGUUGGCGGGGUAAAGGCCCACCAAGGCGACGAUCCGUAGCUGGUCUGAGAGGAUGAUCAGCCACACUGGAACUGAGACACGGUCCAGACUCCUACGGGAGGCAGCAGUGGGGAAUAUUUGACAAUGGGCGCAAGCCUGAUCCAGCCAUACCGCGUGGGUGAAGAAGGCCUUCGGGUUUUAAAGCCCUUUUGUUGGGAAAGAAAAGCAGCAGGUUAAUACCCCGCUGUUCUGACGGUACCCAAAGAAUAAGCACCGGCUAACUUCGUG